rnacentral:precursor_RNA from 1 species
AGUUUUUUGGAAUGAACGUUGUGAAAUCCCUCCUUUAUAAUGGCAGGUUUUCAGUUGGUGGUUUUAUCAGAAUUUCUCAAGAUCAAAACGAAACCUUCUCUUUAAAAAGGAAAGAAAGUACUAUCGAUACAGAAAGCAAAAGUAUUUCCAGUCUCCUACUGAACUGUCACGGCAGACCUCUCUGUAUCUAUAUUUAGAGCUGUAUGUCCAUAUAUUUGCCUGAAUGUGUGAGUUCUUGGAAGUAUGGAUUCAUUGCCAGGAGCUGGUGAUUUCCUAAGCAGAGGUCGCUAACUACAAGAAAUGUUACACUCGGUGAGUAGGUGGUACUUUCUGAAGAUUAUUGGUAACCCAGUGUUGGUCGUCUUGAGUCAUGGAUUUAAAUGACGGCUAGCAAGCUCUUAAACACCUUCUGCUUUAUAUGAUACAGAGUAUGGAACUGCAGGACGCACAGACAACUGUGAAGGGUUUUUAAGAAUAUGGAUUCAUUGAAUAAUCAGUGAAUCUUGUGAAUAUACUAGACCUUUGGAGGAGGAAAGGGUGUUUUACAGAAGGAAGUGGUUUGUGGGGGCUUUUAAAGGUACAGUUAUCGCUUUUCUAUAUUUAUUUUCAGCAUCAUUCAGUCCUCCUAUAUGAAAGAAAGAAAUGGUCUCGAUAGAGAAAAAGUUAUGCUGACUCUUUAAAUGAAGAAACUUGAUCCUCAUGUUACUCUUAACUGGACUUUUUUCCUCCUAAAUAUUCAUAAGGGAAACUAUCCCAUGAAGGCAACUAACUUUCUGGCAAUCUCUAUGAUGUGUCUAAUUCAGAACCCGGUGGGCUCUCCAUGCAUUAUUGGCAGCACUUUUAUCCAGGGGCACAGACAGGGAAUAGGGUUACUGGAAACAGGGAGUGUAGCUCAAGGAAUUGUUCUCUCUCUGGAGUGGAUAAGUUGUUUGACCUACUGACUCAUUUCAUAGGAAUUAGGAAAACAACCUAGUGUGGUUUUUAUUGUUAGUCCUGGAGGAUUCCAAAAUCUGUGUGCCUGCAAAUAAGAUGAGCUGGGGAAAGGGAGCACCAGCAUUUGGUGUUUCUACUUGCCUCUUUUCCUGAUGGAAUCCAAUCCUCUGCUUCCAGGACAAGUCCUGCGCUUGGGGAUCCUCUGUACGCCCGUUCACUGGUGAGUAUGUAUGACAGCAAUUUCUGAUUUCACUAGUUCUUGCUUCUAACACCUAAAUGGUGCUUUGUCUAGGGAAACGCUUUAAAGAGCAUUUUCCCCCAGUACGUUUAUAAUACAUUUCAUAUUUACCUCCAGAAAAUACUGUGGAUGUGAUAAUAAUUAUAAAAGACAACCCACAGACAACAAUGAAAGUUAAGAAUUAAGAUAUAUUCUGAUAGAUUUUUGCAGCAUAUUGACAUAAAGGCAGUUUUGGUUUUGACAUAUGUACACUAAAAUGAUAUCUGUAAUGCUAUUAAAACUCAAGUGUACAAGGCACCAGUAUAUUCUGGCAAAAAUAAUAUAAUGAUCAACAGUUAAUGAAAGACUUGUGCUUUGAGCUUCUAACAAAAUGUUAAUAUGUAGAGAAUCUUGUGAUUCAUGAUGCUUUGGUUCUCAACCAGGGUUAUCAAAUAAGCUAAAAGUAUCAGAAGAGGACAAAGAAAGUACGUAAAACAUGGAUAAAAGCAGAAACCGAGAAAAGAUAGCUUUGAUAUUUAAAGUGUUAGAUUAUGGCCUCUAUAUAAUGUCAUAUAUGCCAGAUCCCCCCCCAAAAUCACACCCUCAAAUUAUGAUCUUCAUUAUUCAAAAGAUGUUUGGCGUGUUGGUGGUACAGUGGUGAGCGUAGUUGCCUUCCAGAAGAUGGUUGGUGUAUAAUUACUAUAGAAUUUCUUGCUCUCUUGGGAGGUGGCUUAGUAGAAGGUUGAGUCAGGCAAGCUGGGGCUGUUUAUUCAGUGUGCUGUGCUGUGCUGUGCUGUGCUGUGCUGUGCUGUGCUGUGCUGUGCUGUGUCUGAAUGCCUGGGAGUUUGCGUUGUUAACCUUUCCAGGGUGCUAGAUCCCUUUGAGAUUAUGAUGGAAGCCAUGAAUCCUUUUCCCACACCUGUAUGCAAACAUGUGCCUGCCCAUUUACAGACCCAAAGAAGGACAUCCAUGUACCCCACGUUAAGAAGGCUGCCCUGGACUAAGCCCUCACUGUGACUCUGCUGUUCUUAAGCUUCCCAGGAAACACUGUUAUGUAAAAAGACGAGCCAUCCAGGUCAAAAAGAAGUCAUUGUGGUUGCUAGGUGGGGGUGCAAAGCCAAAGACAAAGGGUGGGGAAAAUACAUGACUAAUAAUAAAUAAAGAGCAUGGUUAAUACCAGAGUCUCCAAACUGAUAGCCCAGAAUCCCUCAACAUGUAGCCACGAGUAUUUGUAAAGUACGUUGUGAAUUCAGGUAGAGGGCCGAAGACUCAAUAUUAAGCAGUUGGGCAGAGUUUUCAUACAUAUAUUUGUCUCUGCCUUUUGCACAAUAUAAAACUAUGAAAUCUCUUUUCAUUUUUCUAUUGUGCACGCUACCACAUUAGGUAGGAAUCAAAAUCAUCUCAACUCCAGAAGUAUAAUUCAUAACAAUUAUAACAAAGCAGAAAAAUGAUUCUACAUUAGCAGAAGAAAUGUAGUAGGAAUAGAUUUAAAAUAGCAUGGUUGAGUACAAAAGAAACAUCGUUUUUUAAAAAAUGGCAGCCUUUAUCACUCAUCAGCUAAACUUAAAGUCAAUGCUGUGAGGCUGUUGCGGGAAAAAAAUAGUCAUGAUUCUUGGGUGUAUUAAAAGGAGUAUGACAUAGAAGGGUAAGAAAACAAGACGUAGUGUGUUUGUCAGACUCAUCAUUGUGUCCUGUUUGAGUCACACUUAAAAAAAGAAUUUGGACAAUUGUGAAAAGCUGAUACACAAGCAACAGAAAUUACACGCCCUUCCAGGAAAAGAUAAGGCAACUGAGGAUUUUAUUCCACACAAGGCUGGAGGAUUUUUUGCUAAUGGCCUUUAAGUAGUAACAGUCUGGUUUAUCCUUAUAUUCCUAGGGCCUUCCGCUCUGCCUGGUGCACAGUACUUGAGAUGAUCGUUGUGUUUAGUGAUAAUGAGUAAGGUUCCUGUGAGAGACUUAGCAGGAGUAAGUAGGUUCAAAUAAAACCAGCGAUAGUGUCAUGACAGACGGUAUAUAAUACAUGAAUUUGCUGGGUGAUUAAUACAUAAGGAUGACUGUCUCACUUGUGAGGAUGAUAUAAUACUUCAGCAGCUAACUGGGGGAAGCUACAAAAUCUUGGUUUGAUACCUCUUUCAGGAUGAAAGCAGAUAAGUCUGCUGGGGUGGUGGAAACAUUCAUUCAUUCAUUCUACAAACCCUGAGGGCCUACUUGGCUAGGUGCUCACGGUCUGGUAGAGGAGACAAAGAUACAAAAACAGAGUCACAGUGUGUAAUGAGUGCCAUGGGAGCAUAAAAACAGCAUGCGCAGGGCUUGUGACACUCAACCGCCACCCCGCGCAGCUUCCAAUGGAGGCAAAGUCACAAUUGACCCCAAUAGACAGGCUUGACAGAGUUAGUUGGAUGGGAGGCAGGUGGGGCAGCCUGUCCAGAGGCGCAGACCUGUGUGUGUGGGGAAGGGGUGAUGGGAGAUGCAGACUCGGCAGUGCUUGUUAACAGAGGUGUGAAUGCCGCGCCUUGCUUGCCUGAAGAUUUCCACCCAGGAUCCUGACAAAAGUCAGAUGUGCACUUCAGAAAGGCCAGGCGGGCUGCAGUGAAGAGAAUGACUCGAGGGGGUGCGGGUGUGGGACAGGCCAUCGAGGCAAGGAGGCCAAAUGGAAAGCUUUGGUCAGGACACAGGUGGUGAUGGAUUCGGGGGAGAAAUGGGGGAGGGUGACGCAGGCAGAGUGGCCAGGGUUAUCAAGUGGCAUCAUUCACCACAAAAUGCAGUCCAAGAGGAAGCCCAGCUGUGAGGGGGGGACAGGUGGGGCCCAGGUGUGAGGGGGGAUAGGUGGCAUUCAGACAUGUCAGUACACAGAGUCAAUGGCAGAGACAGAGCCAGUGGGCAGUUGCACCAUGUGGAUAAGGACUUGAGUGAGACCUGUCUCCAAAGCAGGGGAUCACUCUUCUAAUUUUUUAUAUGGUGUUUUUCAUUCUAUUCUGACUCAUUUGUAAUAAAACCUCCUUUGUUUUUUAUCAUAUAUAUUUCAGGUGUCAACAUGCUGGUUUGAUAUAACAUGUACAAAGCAAAAUAAUAACUUACACUCCAGCUGUGAGUGUACCAUCUCACAGUUACCUUUUUGUGCAUGUGUGUUAAGCCCACCUAAAAUGCACUUAGAAAUAUUCAGUAUCUUCACUGUGGUCAUGCUGUACUGCAGAUCUCUAGAUGUAUUCGUCUGACAUCAUUCCAGCUUUAUACCCUUUGACCCACAUCUCCCCAUCCCCCCAACCACCUCUCUCUGUUUCUAUGGACUGUAUUUGACUAUUUUAGAUUCCACAUAUUACCUCUAAUCCUCAAAGCUCUAUUAGGGUUUUGUGUAUUUCCUUCCAGCAUUUUCCUACAUACACACAAUUUGCAGAAUCAGCAUAAUUCUGUAUAGGUACUUUAUUUAUUUAUUUAUUUUGAGAUGGAGUUUCGCUCUUGUUGCCCAAGCUGGAGUGCAGUGGCACAAUCUCGGCUCAAUGCAACCUCUGCCUCCUGGGUUCAAGCAAUUCUCCUGCCUCAGCCUCCCAAUUAGCUUGGAUUACAGGCACGCGCCACCACGCCCAGGUAGUUGUGUAUUUUUAGUACAGACGGGGUUUCACCCUAUUGGUCAGGCUGGUCUCGAACUCCUGACCUCAGGUGAUCCACCCACCUCGGCCUCCCAAGGUGCUGGGAUUACAGGUGUGAGCCACCACGCCCAGCCUGUAUAGACACUUUCCUCUUUUUUUUUUUUUUUUUUUGAGACGGAGCCUUGCUCUGUCACCCAGGCUGGAGUGCAGUGGCGCAGUCUCGGCUCACUGCAAACUCCACCUCCCGGGUUCAUGCCAUUCUCCUGCCUCAGCCUCCCAAGUAGCUAAGACUACAGGUGCCCGCCACCACGCCCGGCUAAUUUUUUGUAUUUUUAGUAGAGACGGGGUUUUACCAUGUUAGCCAGGAUGGUCUCGAUCUCCUGACCUCGUGAUCUGCCCGUCUCGGCCUCCCAAAGUGCUGGGAUUACAGGCUUGAGCCACCAUGCCCGGCCUGUAUAGACACUUUCUAUCCCACUUUUAAAACAGGCAUGUUCUCCCUAUGCUUUAAAAUGCCUUUAAAAUAUUUCUAAUGGUGCUAAUUCUCUAAUUUGGGAGUGUCUAAUUUGCUUCCAGUUUUUAAAAACUAUUUUUUAUUAUAGUAAUUAACCUUUUAAAUACAUGAAUCUUGGGCAUAUUUUUAAUGAUUUCCUUAGGAGAGAUUCCUUACAGUGAAUUUCUUGAGUAAAAGGAGGUUAACUGUAAGAUUCUUGAUAUACCUUGCUAAAUUGUUUUCUAGAAAGCUUGAACCAAGUUCUGCACAUUUUAGCAAAGUAUGAAAUGUCCUUCUCUCCAUAUCUUCAUCAGCAUUGAGUGUUCUCUCUUUUUUAUCUUUAGACAAAAAGGUUACAUUCUUUUUGGUUCAUCUACUCAGAAGCUAUUUAAUGAAUGUUCACUCCAUGUCAGGCAUGUGGCAUGUUUUCAUCUCUACCAGUAACGCUGAACUUUCUUCUUGUGUGCAUCAGCCUGUUGUUUUCUUUUGUAAAUGUUCUGUUCGUGUCCAUUAUCAACUUUUCUACUAGGGUGUGACUGUUUCUAUGAUAUAUUUAUAACGAUGUGUGUGUGUGUGUGUGUGUGUAUACGAUAUUUGGGGUAAAUACUUUUCCCAGCUUCUUUGACUUUUAAUUUUGCUUAUACUUUAUUGGAAAUACAGAACCUUUAUUUUAUUAUUAUUAUUAUACUUUAAGUUCUGGGAUACAUGGGCAGAACGUGCAGGUUUGUUACAUAGGUAUAAACGUGCCAUGGUGGUUUGCUGCACCCAUCAAACCACCAUCUACAUUAGGUAUUUCUCCUAAUGCUAUCCCUCCCAUAGUCCGCCACCCACCAACAGGCCCUGGUGUGUGAUGUUCUGCUCCCUGUGUCCAUGUGUUCUCAUGAGAACCUUUAUAUUUUAUGUAGUGGAGUAAGUUAUUUUAUCUUUUUUUUUUUCCUGUGUAACUUCUGUUACCUCAGGCUUAGGAAUUCCUUCCUACCCAGAAGUUAGAAAAUAUUCAUCUAUUUUUUUUUAAAGUUUCAUUUUUAACAUUAAACUCACCAAAUUAGAAGUAAGAUGUGGCCAGGCACAGUGGCUCACACCUGUAAUCUCAGUGCUUUGCGGGGGCUAAGGUGGAAAAAUCACUUGAGGCUAGGAGUUCAAGACAAGCCUGGGUAACACAGUGAGACCCCACCUCUACCAAAAAAUUUAAAAAUUAGGCAGGCAUGGUAGCAUGUGUCUGUAGUCCUAGCUGCUUGGGAGGCUGAGGUGGGAGGAUCACUUCAGCCCAGAAGCUUGAGGCUGUAGUUAGCUAUUAUCAUGCUAUUGCAUUCCAGCCUAGGCAACAGAGCAAGAACCCUGUGUCUUUAAAAAAAAAAAAAAAAAAAGUGUGAAACAAAGAUCCAAAUGGACUUUGUUUCACAAAGUAAAUCCCCCAUCAUGUUUUGAGUCAUGUAUCUUUCCCUAUUUAAUUUGUGGUGCUUCCUUUAUUUUAUAUUUCAAGACUUUUUGCUAUUAUAUCCAGCGGUAGGAGCCCAUGAACUUGUUGGAUAUUGGUAUGCACAGAAGAUGCGGUAAUACUUUUUUCCAAUAUUUUAUUAUGAAAAAUACACUGGCUAGAUUCUAUAAUUAAUAUUCUGUCACUUUACCAUCUAUUCACGUAAUAAUUCUUAAACUUCUCAAAUCAUUAUUUGAAUUUCAAAGUGGACUAUCAAAGACAUUUUCUCUAACCCUAUUUUUCUCUAAUUUGCAGUUUUGAUUUCCAGGAAGCCUUUAGCAAUUUAUAUUGUUAGUACAGUAAGAGAGUAAACAACACACUAAAAUACCAAGAGAAACUACUUUCCAAAACAUGUUUUAGUCGUUUAACUUUAUGAAUAUGGCUAGCAAGGGGGCUUCCUGGGGGACAGUGCUGGGGAAAGAGCAGGCCCUAGGAAUGGGCUUUGAAAGAAGACUUUUGCCACCGUCAGGUCACAUUUGCAAGAGGCCAUCGUCGUGGUCUGCCAGGGAACCCUUAGCAGAAAGGCUGCUUUGCCCAGGAUCUGGCUUGCCGCCCCAGACCAGCCCUACCGCUGUCUGGCAUUGAAUGUCCCUGGUCCGCAGUGAGUGGCCAGUUGCAUAGACCUUAGAUCAAGGAGCUUAGUCACCUCUUUCCAGCCUAAAUCAUGAGCACCCUAAAUUCCCAUGGGUUGUUGAGACCUAAUAGCAUCCUGGCUUAGAGAUGGGAUUGCAGCUGGGUCUGCACAGGAAACUGGCCUACUGUGUCUGCCUCUUGGUGCAGCAUACAACCAGCCACAUGGAAAAACCCAGCCUGCAAUAAAAGACUUGCUUUGGUCACCACCUGACAUUAGCUGUGGUUUAAUCUGUGUAAUGUUUUUCUUCCCCCCCAUCUAAGCCUCAAUUUCCUAUCCAUAAAAUAUGUUGGUUUUGGCCAGGCGUGGUGGCUCACGCCUGUAAUCCCAACACUUUGGGAGGCCAAGAUGGCCUGAUCGCCUGAGGUCAGAAGUUCAAGACCAGCCUGGGCAACAUGGCAAGACCCCCCCCCUCUACUAAAAAUACAAAAAACUAGCUGGGCGUCAUGGCACAUGCCUGUAAUCCCCGCUACUUGGGAGGCUGGGGCAGGAGGCAGGACAAUCGCUUGAACCCGACAGGCAGAGGUUGCAGUGAGCCGAGAUCGUGCCACUGCAACUCUAGACUGGGCCAUGAGCGAGACUCUUUCUCAAAAAAAAAAAAAAGUUGGUUUUAUUAGAUUACAGAGAAUACUUUCUCUAUCCAAAAUCUGUGAUUUUAAUCUAGAACACUGAAUGUAGGUCAGUAUCCACCCCAUUUUCAGAAAUCUGGGAAGAUCUUUUUUUGUUUUUCAGCUUCUCAGAAUAAAUACUUUCUAGGAUGUUACAAACAUGGAUGAAGUUCACCAGAACAGAUCCAGGGUUAACCUUUUAAAGUCAUUAGAUAUGGCUCCAGUAAAAGGCAUGAGAAGGCACCCGUGAGACCCUGCAGAGGAAGCCUCACUCCUGGGCAGCCUUACGGCUGACGAGCUACCUUACUGAGCAUAUUCCUGCCUCUACACCAGAGACUCACUCUGUGGUCCGGUGUCACCUCGAUUCUAAAUUCCCUGCUUCCUGGUGAAUGAUGCUAUCACACUUUAGAAACCUGGCCAAUAAAUGCUUUGAAAUUUAAGGAUAGCUAUCCUGAAAAAAUUUAAUAUAACCUAAAUUGAUAGUCUAAUGACAUCAGUAUUCAGAAGAGGCAUUCUAUUUCAGCAAGUGGUUUUCAGAAAAAAAAAAAAAAUAAAUAACCUGAGUUUUUCCCCUGCCACUCUCCCCUCUUGCUUUUAUGCUGCAAAAAGAGCUUGUGGCUUGCCUGACACACCGUGUUGUUCUCUGCCUUCGAAGAUCUAGCUCCCUCAGCCUCCCCACGUUGUCCACCUCUCCAAUACCAUUGCUCCACUGGGAAGCUGGCCCGGAGGUGCUCUACCACGUUCAUCUCUCGCAGCCCAGGGCUGUCUUUAACGUUACAGAGACACAGAUAUCAAAGUGUUGCAAUUUAUUUGGCUUUCAUUAAUUUGCCGGAAGCAAGGGAGGGUAGAUACAAAGUACUCCUCUAACCUGUUAUUUUCCUUGCUGUUAAAAUGUAAAGAAGACUGAUGUAAGAAUCUCUGCCUUCCACCAGUCAUAACCAUGGUAUGCACAGAGCUUAUGAAUCAUCUUCUAAAUUCACAGCUAGUUUUAAAAUUUAGCUUCCAGGCUAGAUCUGCAGGAAAUGAUUGGGAGAUCGUAAGUGCUAUGGAGUGAAUAUGAAGUUACUUACCAGAUCCCAUAAAGUUAGCUCAGGGAAUCCUGAGGAAGGUGUCACUCAGAAAGCUGCUUUCAAAGCUGAGUCAGACCUGCAUGGUGUUUAUUACCUCCAUUGUGUUACCAUGCCAAACAUAUAAAUAGCUUCAAAGUGAGUUCAGAUUAAAACACAGAAAAAUCUUUGGAUAUAUUCACAGGCCAGUGGGGGUCAUGUAACAAGUCAGCAAGGAAAAUAAAAGAUAUUUGAGGUACAGCCUCAACUUUUUAAGAUGGAUCUUGAAUAAAAAGGUCUAAUGAAAUAUUUUAUGGUAUUGCUCUCUGGGAUUUAAAAAAACAAAGCAAAACAAAAAAACGAGGGCACUGGAACAAUGUUUUAGAUAGAUCACGGGUGUUUUCCAGUAUGCAUUUUUAGUGCACUUACUUAACUGAGAGCCCUCUCAUAUGAAACUGGAAUGUCACCACCAUGUGAUAAAGCGUAGACUAGCUGUGACCUAAUACGUACUGAUCAUGACUAACGCAGAAGUCCAGGUCACUGCGGUUGUAUUUCCUGUGGCCUCAAUGUUCUGGGGUUAGGGUUAACAGGGAUAAUUCAUUUCUGUGUUCAAGUCUCUAAUUCUUCCAUCAUGUAAACUGUAAGUGGGAGCAGACUGGAUUCAGCAUUGCUACAAGAGAAAAACAACAAAUAGGAACACCACCAACACCAUGUGUUGGGAGCCCCAUGUGCCAGGCACUGUGCCAAAUACUCGAUAUUGAUUAUCUCUUUUAAUACACAAUCCUGUGUGGCAGAUCCUACUAUGAGACCCAUUUUACAGAUAGACAACUGAGGCUGGGGGAAGUUGGAAAUGGAGGAGCCAGGAUUCAAGUCACAGCAGUCUGGCUCCUGCGCCCAAGCUUUUAAUUUGUAUCCUAUUCACUUUUCAUAAAUAAAUGACUCGUGUUGGAGGUGUUUGUAUCCUUGGGGCCACUCAGUUUUAUUCAGCCAGCUUUCCUUGGUUGUGGUUUUAAUGUGUUAGGGAAGAAUGAAUGUAUUCCCCACAGCUGGGCAUCUUUGUGCUGGAUCACCUGGCCACAGCUCAUGAAUAGUGCAGAUUAUCACACCCCACCCCCAUGACUCCAGCAAAUGUGCUGUGGGUAUAGGAGAGUAUGUUCAAAAAAGGCAAUUAACAAAGCAACUGUCCCAACUACCAAGAAAAACAAAUGUGGCAUAACCCAUGAUAGAACCCUCUUUUUUCCUUAUUAGACAUGAAUAGAAGCUCAUUAAUGCCGUCCAGUAAGUUCAAGCCGCAUAACUUACAUACACUGUCAGGACCCAGAAAGAAACCUGUUGUCUUGUGAUGUUAUUGUUGCUUGGUUGACCUCAUCAUGUCUUGACAGGGCUCAAGACACCCUUCAUGAUCUGGUCUUACCUCUCAGGACUCCCCCCAUCCUUACCAUUGUUUGUUGAUCUCUGGUGCAGCCAAAUGAAGCCCAUCAUGCUUGUCCUCUGCCUGGAAGCUCUUCCUUCCCUCUUCCUGGCCAAUGGCUACUGUCCCUUCAGAGCACCUGUUCAGAUGAAACCUCCACCAGGCAGCCUCUGCUGACUCCUAAGGGCUGGGCUAGGUGCCCCUUGGGUGCUUCCACAGCCCUUUCUGCUUACCCAGUUGUACAUGUGUCAUACUGUGUUCUGUAAUUCCUCUUUUUGUCCAUCUUCCCUGGCUUGCAUUGACCCCUUAAAAGCCAUGAUUAGGGCCGGGCGCCGUGGCUCACGCCUGUAAUCUCAGCACUUUGGGAGGCCGAGGCAAGUGGAUCACAAGGUCAGAUCGAGACCAUCCUGGCUAACGUGGUGAAACCCCAUCUACUAAAAAUACUAAAAUUAGCUGGGUGUGGUGGCACACGCCUGUAGUCCCAGCUCCUCGGGAGGCUGGGGCAGGAGAAUUGCUUGAACCCGGGAGGCGGAGGUUGCAGUGAGCAGAGAUUGCGCCACUGCACUCCAACCUGGGCAACAGAGCGAGACUCCGUCUCAAAAUAAAACAAAACAAAAUCAUGAUGCCAUGAUCAGUGUUUACUUUUGGAUAAACACCCGGACACAUGAUAGAGAAUAAAUGUUUGAGAGAGAGAAAUGACCUACUGGGUAACACCAAAAACUAAUGUAUACCAUGUCUAGUGUUUACAGUUUACAAGAUGCUUUCACACACAUAACUUCAUUUGAUCCUCCCGGCAACUCUGCAAAAUAGAUUUCUGCAGCCCUGUUGUACUGACCAGGAAACAUCAGCCUGCCCUGAUGGCAGGGAUGUGGUUAGCAGGUGGAAAGCCAGGACUCAGGCUCAGGUCUUCGAACCCAGAUUUUAUGCCCUAUGUACCGCCAUGUGGAUAUUCUCAAGGCAACUCUCUGAAAUAUUUCCAGAAUCUUUCACAAAAGUCCUGUGUCGUCCUUGUCCUGGCCAACUAGACUCAGAGGGAGGACUGAUGGAUUUUCAUCUCCCUCUUCCCCUUCGUCUUUUCUUCUCAGCAUCUUCCUACCCUCCCCACCACCGCGCUUCUCCACCAAAAGUCUGAUGCUGGCAUGUAAUGGACCCUUUCCAAGUUUCAAGGUGUUGACAGUAAAUCUUUUGUAUUUAGACCGGGCCGGCUGCUUUCCUUUUCUUGUGGGUAGAACUCUGGAAAAGUGGAGGGGGGUGGGUGGGGCUUCAGGUAAAGUACGUCAGCAAAUUGGAUAAGUCGGAUCUUCGUUGUGUGAGUGGGUAAGAGAUGAACUGGGGGGAGGGGUGUGUGUUUGGGCAGUGAGCAAGCCGGCAAGAGAAUGUGAGUGGGCGGCCAGUUGGUUGGCAAGUGAGAGGCUGUGGAGAGGUUGCUGCUGGGACGGGCUGUGCAAUUAAACAGUUGAGCAGAUCUUAAUAGCAGACUGGGGCGGUGCUCUCCGCAGGCCUGCGGGGAGCAGGGAGCAGGGGAAGCAAGCGAGCUGGAAGCAUCUUCGGGCACAGAGCUAGAUACGAAUUUCAGAAGCACAUAACCUGAGGAAUAGAAUGCAACCAGAGGAGGGAGAAAUAGAGAUUCCAGGCAGCGUUUCCUAAACUUAAAAAGUUUUGAAUACCCAGUUUUGCCUUGUUCUGGGGACCUCUGGCAAUGUUGUUCAAGGGAGGAAUUUUUAAUUUCAUAGAAAAGUGAAUUUUACCACCACAAGAGAACAUGAGACCAAGGUCAUAAAUCCCUUUGUUUGGAGUGUCCGUUCUGAACUCCUUGUAUACUUUUAUUUGCAGGAAGAGGCUAUACCAGCAAGUAUUAUGGUUUUACUGGGUGGGGCGGCAAGGCCAGGAAGAGAUGGAGAUGCUGUUAAAGGUCCUUGCUCCAGAACAUUCAGAGAUCAGAGGAACUCAAGAGGUCAAAGUAGGCUGAUGUCAUUGUUCAUCCAUUUAUUCAGCAAAACUUUCUUGAACACCUACUGUGUGCCAGGCACUGGUUGGCAGUGAGGUGAAGACGAUAGUGAUGAAAACAAAGGCAUGGUCUCUGUCAUCAUGGAACCUAAGUAAACACAUACCAAAAAAAAUGGCCCAAGAAAAAUCAUGCCCUGAGGGGAAGGCACUCAGAUGAAAAGGACCUUCUUCCCAGUGGUCCCCUGAGGAGGUGAUUUCCAAGGUCUCAGCUAAGGGAUGAGCAGGAAUGUGUGGGUGCAGGGGGUAGGGGUGAGAGCUCUCGGCAUAGAGAGAGCAGCACAUUUCAAAGGCCCUGGAGUGGGGAAGGAGGUGGCAGGUGCAGCUGUGUGGUGGCUACUUCCACUUCUGGAGUGCAGUAGCAUGAUCUCGACUCACUGCAACCUCUGCCUCCCGGGUUCAAGCAAUUCUCCUGCCACAGUUUCCCAAGUAGCUGAGAUUAUAGGUGCAAGCCACCACGCCUCGCUGAUUAUUACAUUUUUAGUAGAGACGGGGUUUUACCAUGUUGGCCAGGCUGGUCUCGAACUCUGUCUCCUGGAACCUCUUGAUGAGCCCCUGUGAGGUUCCCCAGCCCAGGGCAUCCCCCCAGGUAUUCAGGAGAGACCCGUCCCCAAGAGACUGCCUGCUACUUCCUCUUCCUAUGAAUGUCACUGUGAGGGGAAUAAAUAAGGAUAGACCAGAAAAGCAAAUUGUAAGAAAUUUGAAACCAGUUGUCAGUUUUCAGGUGCCCAGGAGCAUGACAAUAUGCCCGAGGGACCGUAACAGGACUUGACAUGGAGCUGGGUCUAAAGCAGAUGACCUGGUGGCUGCAGCGUGUUCCACACAGGCGAGCACUGUGAGGCCAAAGGACUGGUGUUGAGCAGAAUGAAAAAGCACAGUGUUGGUUAAUCCUGAAAAGUGAAGCCUGCAAGAAAUGAACUUCGACCUUGGAGUGGGGGUGGGACAGGGGCUAGAAGGAAGAGAGGCUCGGAAGUGUGUUGUGUAAACGUGGUUCUGUUUUGUCUAAUCUUUUACUACCUGUAGGGACAGGUGGAUGCAGUGGAGCUGCUGGCAGGAAAGGUGGAGUUUUUUCAAGGUCACGAGUUAAGCAAUAGAGUAGAAUAUCUUUGCAGCUGCAAGAGGAGGUGCGAGCAGCUUGUUCACAAGGUAUAUUUUGCAGGAGUUUCCCCUUACAAGAUCUUAUUUGCUUGAGAGUAGCGUUAAGGAUUUCUGUGCCAACAGUUAGCUGGAUCUCUGGGGUUGAAUCGUUAUCACCAAUCUAUAGUUAAAAUAAGCAUUAAAAAAAAAAAGGAGUCUACUUUCAAAGUUUUCCCGAAGUGCCAGUCUGAAGCAGCUACCUUUAAAAGCUGUUCUUGAAUAAUAGGUUGCUAUAUCCUAGUCUGUAAUCUUGGACUAAUGUCUGAGGAAGGAAAAAAAAAAAAAGAAUAUUCUCUCUUUGUCCGAUUAAGAAGUGGAGGUAGACAGCGAUUCGACAUGUUGUAUGGGCGAGGCUGUGCUGAGCUUGCGUCUGGGACAAUGACCAGACAGAUGAAAGGAGAAGUGAGAGAUAUUUUUAGCACAUCAGGACUGCUUUGAAACAUUGAUUUUUUUUCCAUCUCCUCCCACCCCCCAUAAUUCCAGCAGGAAGAUUCAGUGGCAGGCACUUUAAUUCAGUGUAAAAACAUCUUCUAUAUUACACACUAAAAUAUUCAUGAGGAAAGGGAGUUGCUGAUUUUAAGGCGUAGCUUUAAAACCCACGUCUGUCGGCUUGAUGGUCAGUGUCCCGCCACACAGUCUGGAAGUGUGACGUGGCCAAGGAGGACCCCCAGAAGGAUCCUGUGUCUUCCGUGGGGACUACUCCUUUCCUCAGAGGAGCGGGUUCACAGGAAACUGGAGCAGAAGGAUGCCUUUAGCCCCACUCCUGUUGGUCCUCAGUCCCUUCUCCUUUGAUCAGGUGGUUCAAGCACGCCUUGAAGUUCCGGUGUUCAAACAACGUGACCUCUGCAAUUACGUUCUAAUACUUGUCGGUGCCCAACUUAAACCACUAGCAAUGUUAGUUAAAAACAUCAGGGAGGCCGGGCGCGUGGCUCAUGCCUGUAGUCCCAGCACUUUGGGAGGCCUAGGCGGGCAGAUCACUUGAGGUCAAGAGUUCGAGACCAGCCUGGCCAACAUGGUGAAACUCUGUCUCUACUGAAAAUACAAAAAAAGUUAGCCAGGUGUGGUGGCGGGUGCCUGUAAUCCCAGCUACUUGGGAGGCUGAGGCUGAGGCAGGAGAAUCACUUGAACCCGGGAGGCAGAGGUUGCAGUGAGCUGAGAUCGCGCCACUGCAGUCUAGCCUGGGUGACAGAGACAAAACACAAAACAAAACAAAACACCUCAGGAGGCUGUAAAUCAAGCACAACUGAAGCAAAGAUAAAAACGGGCAGUCUCAGAAUCACCUUUGAAGGUGGAAGGAAGGGCGUUUGUGUGUGACAAGAAGAGUGUACGUUCAUACAAGGGUUUUUACUCCUCCUCUGAAAAGUCCUGCUUGGUGGCUGGCCAGUUUGUCAUGCUUGGCUGCCCAAGCAAGUGGUGGCAGUCGGAGCACAGGAGAAAGCCGCAGGGGGUGAGGAAGAAGUGCUGGAGAGGGCGCUCCACCUUUCGGCUGCCCUGACCUGUCUCCAGCCCCAGGGCAUGUGGUUCUGGGCCGGGCACUGGCCCCCUCUCUGUGGACUGUACCAGGCAGCGGGUAGUGCACAAGCUCUGAGGUCAGGCCACCUGGGCCUAAACUCCAGCUCUGCUCCUUGCUAGCAGUGUGACUCUGGGCACGUUCAAGUUACUUCAUGCUUUGUGCCUCAGUUUCCUCAUCUGUGAAAUGGGGAUGGUAACAGGACCCUCAUCCCAGGACUGCUGUGUGGAUUGAAGUGCCUGCAACGGGAUUUGUCUUUUCUGGGAUCGCGGUGGAUGCUCUAUUCCAGGUGAGGGAGUCUCUUGCUUUCUCCUACCUCUUGCAGCCGCUUUGCCUCUGAGUGGCAAAUAGCAAGUGGCUGAAAAUCACAAUGAGCCCGUCAGAGAAUGGGGAUGGGCCACAAGGCCACAGUCGGAUGGGUUCUCCAUGCCCUCGACUAUGCAGCGGGGUCAGGGCAUCCCUUCCUCCUGGGGUGCCCACACCAUUCCCUUGGAAGUUUAGACAGCAGCCCUUGCCUCGCCAGACGCAGCAACCCCUCCCAGCUACACGUGGAAUCUGUGGCCCAGCCUCCCUCAGAUGACCCGCAUUGCCUGACAGAGACCAGGGGCCCUGAGGGGUGGCUGUCGCUGGCCUGGGACAGGGUCCCUGCAGGUUUUCAGGGUCCUCAGCAGCAUUCGCCAGCGUCGGGUCAGACUGAGUCAUGGGGCCCGAGCUCUCCACGAGUUGGUUCUCCAGUUGGUUCUCGUUGGGGGUAAUGCCCUUCAUCGAACCGCUUCAUCCCCAGCCUGUAUUGUCUCCGUCUCUUCGCAGUUGUCAGAGGGCUCGGCCGCCACCCUGAAACAGCCCAGAGCUCUCUGAAGAGCACGAGCUUUUACGCUUCUCUCCCCAAAUCAACUGACUUUUUCAUUGCUUCUGUGGAGGCUUUCUGUGGGAGAAAAGCGUGUUUAUGGGGCAAGCUCAGAGAGCUCCUGUCCCCGUGGUGGAAUUUUUUUAGUGGCUCUGCCCACGUGGUGGUGAGCGCCGGUGAGGAUGGGACGCAUUUUCUGCUAAAAUGGCUGUGCGAGGCUGCCACCUCGUGGCCAGCACAAGGCAGUGAGUGUGUCCCUUGCUGGAGCUUCUGGGUGAAAUAAACUCAUUUUAAAGGUCUUCAGCAAGGACCUCACUCCCUCACUCUCUCAGUGUGCAUAUCAUUCCAGCUCCAGGGCUUAAUGCGUCUGUUGUGGCAUCUCUCAAAUCUGUACUUUGCUAUCUCUUUGACUACAGAGUCACUACCUUCCGAUAAGCCCUUCUGCUGUCUCCAGACCGAUCCUUCUAAAGCGUAGAUGUCAUUGUCUUUCUCUCAUUAAAGCUCUUUCAUGGCUCCUCAUUUUCCAGGUUCCAGCUCAUGUCUCAGGAGGCCGCUAAGCCCACUCCUCUGCCCCAGCCUGUGUCUGCGCACGUCUCUUCUCCCUUCCUCCUGGUUUCCUCUGGCUGAUACCUGCUCACCUGAAAGUCAUCUCAGGUGCCACCUCCUCCAGGGAUUCCUCGCAUUAGAUUAGCUUCCUUCUUCCCCAUUCCUAGCUGACUUCCUUCAUUAUGCCUCAGAUCCUUUUUUUGGAAGAAAAAGAAAGAAAUGGAAGACAGACUGGCCAGCAGGGGGAGAGAGAGGGAGGGAGGGCAUAUCAGAGAAUUCAAUAUGCUGCGUUUUAACCAGAUACUUUUCUUCCUCUCCCACAAGGCAUCAGAGUAGAGACUGCCUUUCAUCUCUCUCCCCCUUGUGUAAUAGCACAGUGUCUGGCAGAUAACUGUUGCUUGCUAAUUAUUAGAAGGAAGAAAGGGAGGGAGAAUAAAAGCCAGCAUCACCAUGUGAUCUUCCUAAGUGCGACAGAUGUGAGAAAAGAACUACCUUAAGCUCCAGGGGCCCUAGAGGAACGGCGCUGCGUGCUAGUGCAGAUGGUAGCAAACGCUCUCACCUGGCUUGGCAACACUUCUUCACCUCUUCUUUCUACCACCACAGCGACUGUCUCCCUCCAGCCCAUCCUACUGCCAAAUUCAUCUUCUAUUAAGCAUAGCUUCAAUCACAUCAUUUCUUUAUCAAAACACUUCUACAGAGGAGUUCCAAAUGCUUUAGCCGGGCCGUCCAGGGCCUCCACAGGAUGACCCCAGCCCAUCUAGUUUUCUACCACUCUUUAUGUGUUUCCUAAGUACCAUUCAUUAUUUUAGGACUUGGUAUUUGCUGAUGAAUUUACUUACUUACUUGAGAGUGUGGCAAAAGCACAUCCUAAACUUUCAGUUAAAAGGAGUUUGAUUGAUUGACCUGCUCUGAGUUUAAGGCACGUGCUGGUCACUGUGGGAGCCAUUAAAGAAGGUAUUGUUCUGUGGCCGCCAGGAACAGAUAGCCCAGCUGGGGACAAGACAAAAAAGCAGGGGGCAUUAAGGAACAGACAGCAGAAAGGAACAUGUCACAAGUGCACAAUUAAUCGCCAAAUAUAUGGCUCAAGAAGGGGUGGUGAUCAAACCAGAUAAUGUCUGUGAAAGUGCCUCUCUCCUGUCAAACUCCCAAUUCCGAGCAGUCCUACAGUCGGCCCCUUCCACAGGGCGUAGCCCUGUCAUUCCACCUCAAACGUCGUACACACUCGGCCUGUCCUACAAAGCCCUUCGUGAUAAGGCCUGCUUCUCCUUCCCACCUUGUGGGACCCCCGACCCUGGAACCCCGAGCUGCAGAGCUGGAGAGAAUGCACUCUGUUGUUUGGUAUACGUGUUCCUUGAAACAUUCACUCCUCCCCAUUUUCCUUCGGUGUUUAACCUGUUCUUCCUUUAAAAUUCGGCUUUUCCUUUAAAAUCCAGCCUGGAGCUCCCCAAUGAAGACUUCUGUGGCGCUGCAGGCAAAACUCACCACCUGCAGAGUCUCUGCUCUCCCUUGUCAAAUACGCGUUUGUGACAUACAUUGGAAGGCAUCGGGCACAUUUCUGUCAUCUGUGUGACUGUGGACCUCUGCCGCAGGGGUCAUGUCCUUUCCCUUUACAGUGCUUGAUGAGGUACACGUCUUGUCAAUGUUUGUCACGGACUGAAACUUAACACAUUAGAGAGGACAGCAAAGUCAGUUGACUCUAAAUUGUUAAGGCACAAGCUCUGUGAGUUCAGAAGAGACAUGUGCCAGAAUCGGUCCAGGGAGGUUCUUAGAACCUACCAGUUCUAAGUAGGAGUUCUUAGAACCUACCAGUUCUAAGUAGGAAUUCUUAGAACUGGAAGGUCAAAGCUUUGUACAUGUGAAAUAGAUCAAACAAUAAAAAGAAUUCCAUGUAGAAUAGCUCAGUGUCUGUGGCUCCUAAUGGCUCCCCCAUUCUCUGCACCAGCCAGCGGGAGGAGAAAGCCUGCAGAGUGGGGGCAGCGGAGACAGAACAUCUUAACCCCAGCAGAGGCUUUAUCUAAGGAAGUAGAGCGAAUGCCCUGAAGGUGGGUUGGACUUAGGUGGUGGAAAGGUUUCAAAUGCACUCUGUUAUCUUGCAGGUAGUGGCUGCCAUUUAUUACUUUAGAAAACCAUGGCGACUUCAUCAAAGUGGUGUUUUAGAAAGAUGAUCCAGGGCCGUCUUUUCCCUUUGAGAGUGGGAGGUGCCCUGUGGCCCUACCUUCAUUUUCUGUGAUGGUAUUCCCAGUGGUUUCCUCCCUGUGGCUUUGCGGCUUAGUGGUGAACCAAGAGGCUUAGGAUGCAGGUGCAAAGCCCCUCUACUCUUUAAUGCCUCACUUCAAGGUGCAGGAUCUUUCCCUCUGUAAACAAAGGCUUUCCUUCUGGCACUGCCCUUGACCUGCUCAGAGCUGUUCUCUGAUCCUUUGGGUCUCUCUGCCCUCGUGACUGGCAGUGACCUGCUAGGCAGCAACCCCCACGCAGCAGGUGGUCCUCCAGAGCUGAGUCACCACCCCGGGAACCGUGCCCUGGUGAGGCCAUCCAAGGUAGACCGGCACAGGGCGGGUGUGAGUGGCCUCUCCACCUGGCCCCUCGGUCUGGGAGGGCUCUUUCAGCUUGACAGAGAGAGCAAAGGAAACUCGGAUUUUUGGCAAAGCAGAAAAACAUUUUACCUGUGAUCACAGUUAUGGGCCUUGGUCAGUCAUUUGAUUUCAGCACACCCAAAUUGUCCAUUUACAGAUACCUUGAGACAUGGAAAGGGAGGAAAUUUUUUAAUGAUGUUUUAAGAUUCUGUUUGACCUCAUGAAUUAAGAGCGGUGAGAAGUAAUAGAACACGGAGAGAUACCUAAGCCAUUGAUUGAUAUUGUAGGCAAUAAACAAGUGAGAUUCAGAUUAUUUUUAAAAAUUUUUUUCAUGGGCACUGAUGGAUGUUUAAAAAAUUAUGACGUGUUCUGUUCAUGACGCGUUCUGUUCAUUUCCAGAGAAGAGAAAAAUGUGGUUGCUUUUGAAAGGAGGUUUUUUGUUUUGUUUUGUUUUGUUUUUAAACGUCUAGCUUAUUCAUUACACCAGCGAAUAGCAAUGACCUCAGUCUAAAAAGCAAGUUAACCAUCAUCUCUCUCCUUGCCUGGGAAAAGAAGCCUUUAUCUAAGUAGCCAAAAGAUGGGCAAGGCUGACCACCCAGUCAUUUCGGCUGAUCAGGAUUUUCCAAAAAACAAAAAGCUCUCUGUUUUCACAACUGAGUGACAACUCUUAGGAAAUACUACCAGCUUACUCAGUUUGAGUAAGGCCAUGGAGAAGUCUGGUGACAGUCAGUUGCCUGGAUGCACAUGUUACACAUGGCUAACGAUGCUGUCACCACUGGGAGCUUUCAGAAUUGGAGAAAAUAACACCGUGUCUCUUGCUUUCUGAACAUGGAAUUUUUAACUUUUUUUUUUUUUUUUUCUGGAGACAGAGUCUCGCUCUGGCGCCCAGGCUGGAGUGCAGUGGCAUGAUCUCAGCUCACUACAACCUCCACCUCCCGGGUUCAAACAAUUCUCCUGCCUCAGCCUCCCAAGUAGCUGGGAUUACAGGUGCCCACCACCACGCCUGGCUAAUUUCUGUAUUUUUAGUAGAGAUGGGGUUUUGCCAUGUUGGCCAAGCCGGUGUUGAACCCCUGGCCUCAGGUGAUCCACCCACCUCAGCCUCCCAAAGUGCUGGGAUUACAGGCAUGAGCCACCCCAUGCCCAGCUGGAAUUUUUUAACUUAAAAAAAAAAAGUUUCAGUGUUUGUCCUUACCCAUUAUGUGCCCAGUUAGUUCUAUACCAGUGAAAGUUCCCCCCAAAAGAAAAAGAAAAAGAAAAAAAAGACUGUCAUUUUCUUGAGCAGCUUUCUUGAGCUCUGUGUGUGUAUGCCUAUGUCUGGGGCAUACACAAGGACUCUGGCAGGCCCACUAAACUCUACCACGUAGUUGCCAGAUAUGCUGUAAACUGUCACCUGGAAGUUGGGAUUUACUCUUUUAUUUUUCUGUUUAUUUUGCAUGAGUACUGUAUGUAUAAAAAAGUAGCCACAUAUGGAUGGUCAAAGGGUUUCCUAGAAAUAUGGAUAGUCAGAGGGCUUCCUAGAAAUAUGGAUGGUCAAAGGUAUCCUAGUUUUUCAGGUAAACUCCACUAGAAACCAGAACCAUAUCCCAAUUCCAUAGCCUUUAUUAUUUCAGAUCAAUAGAAGCAGAAUCAAAAUGCAUUUGGAGCUUAGAGGUCAAUUGAUUUGGAAACCACUCCGGUGCAAAGAAUCUCUAGAUUCAUUGAUUUUGGAGUAUUGUUUAGGGGAAAAGGACUUUAAAGGCUGGGCGGGGAAGCUUUAUUCCUUUUUUUUUUUUUUUUUUUUUUUUUUUUUUCAGAAGACAUUUAUGAGUUUAUUGAUUUGGCACAUUUCCAGAGGACAAUUCAGUGACAUAUACCAACAUGUACAACAGAUUCAUCUUUUGACCCAACUUUUUCACUCUUUUUUUUUUUAUUUUUUUUUAUUUAAUGUUUUUUUUUUAUUAUACUCUAAGUUUUAGGGUACAUGUGCACAUUGUGCAGGUUAGUUACAUAUGUAUACAUGUGCCAUGCUGGUGCGCUGCACCCACUAACGUGUCAUCUAGCAUUAGGUAUAUCUCCCAAUGCUAUCCCUCCCCCCUCCCCCGACCCCACCACAGUCCCCAGAGUGUGAUAUUCCCCUUCCUGUGUCCAUGUGAUCUCAUUGUUCAAUUCCCACCUAUGAGUGAGAAUAUGCGGUGUUUGGUUUUUUGUUCUUGCGAUAGUUUGCUGAGAAUGAUGGUUUCCAAUUUCAUCCAUGUCCCUACAAAGGACAUGAACUCAUCAUUUUUUAUGGCUGCAUAGUAUUCCAUGGUGUAUAUGUGCCACAUUUUCUUAACUUUAUAACCUGUGUGGGGCAGGAGAAUUAACCUGCUUUUGGAUUAGAGGCUGCAAAAAAGCCAGUUCUGGUGACCACACUAAAAAGAUUAAUGAGCACUUAGCACCAAAUUAAAUACCCCCCUGCCCCCGCCUUUAUGAAAGUGGAGUUCAUAGUACAAAUGUGACAGCGUUAAACAUUGAAGCCAUUCGAAGGAACCUGGGAAGUACUCAGGCACCGAUGAGUUAAAAACACAGAGACAUCCAGUAAGUGAGUUCCCGCUGGGCACGGGUCUGUUUAUCUUGCCUUUCUGAAGUCAGAGCCAACAUUCUUAAUGGUUUUGAAUGAUUCAGAAUGUUUCUUUUUUGGCAGGGCCAGUUUCCACGCAUGGGCUUAUGACUAAAACCCCUUAGGUGAGGUCCAAAGCAGAAACCAGCCUCACACUUAAUGUCGUAUUUCAGAAUCAUCUUAUUUUAGAGCAAAAGGAAAACUAUUAAAUAUAGCUUGCUUAUUUCAGACAUGAAGGGACGGAACCAGGGAGGCUUUGGUCAGCCAGAGGUCACAGGACUGGAGAGAGAGGCCAGCCCGAGGCAGACCUCUGGGUUCUGGGCCCAGCCCUCCCUCCUCUGCACCACACAGCUCUUGUCCAGACCUCGGAAGGAGGUUCCAGCGUGGCCUCAGCCUCCCGCUGGAAGAGGCAGCUUGCCCUUUGAGAUCGUUUAGAAAACGACUUGGGUCAGAAAGGAGAACUUCAUUUUUACAAAAUGAAACAAAUCAGUUAUUUGCCAUAGACAGCUUUUUCAAAAUAUCCUUUGCCAGUGUGUCGUGAAUGUAUUAGCUCUGGGACAGAAACAAGAAUAAUAACAAUUCUAUCUACUAUAUGCCAAAAGAAGAGACUUGAUAUACUUCUUUUUUUUUUUUUUGGAUGAGAAUGAACUUAUGCCACACUAGUUCUUAAUAAAACAAACUGAAUCCUUACCACAGGAGAAAGAAUUGAGCAAUGUUCUAAGAACAGGCUGUCCUCUUUGGGGCACUGAGUGAAUGUAAUAUUUAGAAGAUGCCCUUGAAGCUCACAAGUGCCUCUUGGGAUGGAGUAAAGGGGGAGAAACGGCGAGAGAACUCGGACAGAGAAGCUGUCCAUGGGAGGAGAAGGCCUUGGGAAGAGCCAUCGACUCACCCCCUUCCUGCUUGAUUGAGGACUUUGGGAAUCACAGAUGCCAUAGGAGAGAACCCAUUUCUUCAAAGCCAGGAGGUGAACCGGCCCACCCCUGCUGUGCCCACCACACUACAGCCAGUAAGGGUUCUCCUCUGGACCUGAGCCACUGUCCCCAAGGGCCAGAAACCAGCCAUGUGUGGCGUCCCCAGAAAAGGACAUGAGCAGGUACUCAGCCCCGCCACACACAUUUGUCUAAGGAGAGAAAGCAAGUCAGCGAAAUGGGAUCUGCACCAAGAUCUCUGCACCCAGGGAGCUGCUGUGGAGUAAAUCCUAUUUUUCCAGGUGGUGUUUAAACAGCUGUCAUUGAUCACUUUGCUUUUUUUAAUUGAUUAUUUCGAAACGUGUUUUCCCCCAAAGGAUGUUAGUAUGUCAUAAAUAUUCAGUUAAGCAACUCCAGGAUGAUCUUUUAGUAGGAGGAGCUGUCUUUUGGUCCUAGUAACACUAAGUGCCAUUUUUUCCCUCUUCUAAGCCCAUGGAAACAACGUGGAGGAAAAAUGAUUAUAUAUUUAGCUUCUAGCAUGAUUUUAGAGAUAAAUGACAGCCACCUCCCAGACCUCAUUCCCAACACCUGUAUUAAUUUUUAUUUUAUUUUUAUUUUUUUGAGACAGAGUCUCGCUCCAUCACCCAGGCUGGAGUGCAGUGCUGUGAUCUCUUAGCUCGCCUAAUUUUUGUAUUUUUAGUAGAGACGGGGUUCCGCCAUGUUGGCCAGGCUGCUCUCGAACUCCUGACCUCAAGUGAUCCACCUGUCUCGUCUUCCCAAAGUGCUAGGAUUACAUGCAUGAGCCACUGCGCCCCACCUUGUCUUUAUUUUUAAAGUAGGCAAUUUAUUUUAAUUUUUUGUGUGUGUAUGACAGGGUCUCGUUCUGUCACUGGAGUGCAGUGGCACCAUCAAGGCUCACUGCAGCCUCAACCUCCUGGGCUCAAACGAUCCUCCUGCCUCAGCCUCCCAAGUAGCUGGGACUACACUCACCACCACACCCAGCUACUUUUAAACUUUUUUGUAGAGACAUGCAGUCUUGCUGUGUUGCCCAGGCUGGUCUCGAACUCAUGGCCUCAAGCGAUCCUCCAGCCUUGGCCUCCCAAAGUGCUGCGAUUACAGGUGUGAGCCACCAUGCCCAGCCCAGUUUAUUUUUAAAAGAGCUACUGGCUGGGCGUGGUGGCUCACGCCUGUAAUCCUAACACUCUGGGAGGCCCAGGCGAGUGGAUCACCUGAGAUCAGGAGUUUAAGACCAGCCUGGCCAACAUAGUGAAAUCCCAUCUCUACUCAAAAUACAAAAAUUAGCUGGGUGUAGUGGGGCAUACCCAUAGUCUAGCUACUUGGGAGGCUGAGGCAGGAGAAUCACUUGAACCUGGGAGGCGGAGGUUGCAGUGAGCCUAGAUCGCACCACUGCCUCCGGCCUGGGCAACAGAGCAAGACUCUGUCUCAAAAAAAAAAAAAAAAAAAAAAAGCUACUGAAGAGAGGAGUUUCGCUGUGUUAAGACCACUGUGCGUCCAUAAUGGCCUUCCCUCAGAUCUCUCUUCCAGGGAGCUAGGGCUGUCUACACAUGCUCCGUAGAAACAAAUGCACAUUUUCUACACGGGAGUGAAUUGGAGAGUCGUGGUGGUGAUAGUUUAACUGAAAUCUACCUUGGAUUUUUUUUCUUCUCUGCUUUAUAUUUGUUUAAAAAAGCAUGAUCCAGCAAAUGCAUCAAAUUAAAGCUGUGGGUACAGUUCUCCUAACAGAAAAUCACACAGUAAGCUGGGACAAUGGAACAGAAAGCAGUGGGUAUUGUUUUCUUCUUAAGAUUUUUAUAUUCACAUUGGAUGAGAAUGUCUCCUAACCCUCCCCUUGCUGUUGUUCUUGGAAUGGGUACCUUAUUCAUGGCCUCCUUACAUAGAGGGAGCAGAUUCAGGACAGAGGCUCUGCAUGCUCCUGGGUCCCUCCUAAGCGAGCACUCCCCUCCACUGCUCCUCCUGUUCGGCAUGCUAGAUUUUCUGUGCACUUGCAGUCAUACGGAAACUGGCUUCCUUCUUAGCUGUGCGUGUGAAAGUCACCCCAGUGUUUCACCUGCAGUGUGAGUGUAAUUUGGGGUCCCAUGACAUGAUCAUCUUCCUUUUGAUUUCUAAAGCUAGGGUCAGGGAAGGGGACUCGUUUUGAGCCAAAGGGCAUUUUAAGGGCAUCAUUUCAUAUGUUCACUGUCUGCAGCCAACACUGCACUCUAGACAAAUGGGUACCUUUAUGUCCCAUUUAUUAAGACAUCCUGCAAAAGGGGCUCCUGGCCCCUGUGGGAAGCUUGAAAGGAACAGACCAUAUCCUGUUUCUUUUUGCUCAUACCUCUGUGGUGAGAUCUUAUUCUGACCCCAUAGUCUGGUGCCAUACCUGUGGGUCCCUGUAUCUCCUAGAAUUCCCCCUAUGCUAGUGUUUAGCCCGUGUAAUGACAGUUAUCUGUCCACAGGGCUGUAUCCCCCGCCAGCUUGUAAACUCCAUGAAGACCGGCCCUGCGUCUCACUCACUCCUGUCCACAGCAGUGCCUCCCACAUGUUAGGUCUUAACAAACAUCUGUUUCUUCUACUCUUCAUAAAAUCCACGCUUCUUCUCACCCCCCCGUCAUCCCUGAUCCCAGCUAACUUUGACCCUGUGUGCGGGGGCGGGGGAUCUACAUGUGGGCUCCACCCCCGCACGCCUGCUGCCCUGUCAUCUCUGAUCCCUGGCGGUGGGAUGUCUACCAUGGCUCUGCCCAAUCCCCCACUGUCUUCACCCCUGCCACAUCUGGCAUGAUUUUACCGUCCCCUUCCUAGAGUUCUCCCUUUCUCCCCUGCCCAGGCUGCACCCCUGGAGAGCCCAGCUCAGGCCCCUGGCCCCUAUGAAGCCUCUCCUGAAUAAUCCAUCAGCCUGCCCUGAGCUCAUCCAGUCUCCAAUGACGAUUGUGCUCUCCACCAGCAGGACACACCGGAGCACUUUCUCUGUCCCUGAGAAUUGGACUCCAUUCCACAGUUAGGUCCUGGGUCACAUACAGACAUUUCACAUCCCCUCCUCAGUAUUCCCCAGCAGCGUGCAGCACAGUGCGGGCUUCUAGGAGGCAGUCGGUGGAUAUUUACCCAUGAUUUUAAGAGGUCUGUCUUGACCAGGAAUGUUGAGAAGUGACCUGUGUCUCUGCAGCAUUGCUGCUAGUUAGUCCCUCGUGGAAGAAGUGGCAUGUCCCUCCUGUGUCUGGCUCACGGGGACCGGCGCCUCCUGUGUUUGCCCCCGCCAUGCCCUGUGGUUUCCUUUGACACCCUCUGUCAUUGUCUAUUUUUAUGUUUUAAACUUCAGUGGGAUUUACCUCUCGUUUGCUCCCAUAUCCUCCUGGUAAAUUGUAAACUUGGUGAAUCAAUGAUGAGUAAUCAGUAGGCAGAAAUGGUUGGAAUUUCCUGGUCCCAGUUUCAGAUCAUAUCUGUCUUUCCCCAGACUCCUAACUUCCUGUUGGGACAUCCCUUGGUCUGGCCUUUCCCUCCAGAGAAGCCCCCAGACCCACCCGCAGCCUUGAUUUACUGAUGCCUAAUCUUAUUUUAGUCUUUCACACCAGUUUUUAACAACUCGACUGUAUAGAUCUUCUGGAAAUUUUACCCAAAAAUGUUAGAUGUGCCAUCCCCUCACAGGGGAAAGUGGUGGGGUGGUGGGGGUUAAUGUGUUGAAAAUCUAUGUAUCUUGUAUUUUAUUUGAGUCAGCUGUGUUUUCACAACAACUCUGAGAGUUAACAUCAUUUCUACUUUAUAAAUUAAAAAAACAAAACAAAAACAAAAAACUAAAGCCCCAAAAGGAUUGAAUAGCUUGCCAAGGCUGUGUAACAAGUGAAAUUUGAAUCCGGGUCUGUAUGAUCCCAAAGCUUAAGCUGCCCGUCUUUCUAUUCCCAGUUCAAACGUGCCUUGAAAUGGGAGCUCACUUGAUAGUACUUGGCUUUUAAAAGGCUACGUACAUGUAAGUACCUUCACUCAAAUAUGCUGGGGCUCAGUAGGAGAAGCAAAGAGAAGGAAAAGGUAUUGAUUGAUCGAUUUGAUUCUAAGCAGAGAUUGACAGAGAUAAGCUUCUAAGACCUUUCAGGCCCCAGAGUGUGACUGUUGAGCACCUAAGAAGACCUCACUUGACCCGUGACUUCCCGCCAGAGCCUUGGGAAGCCCAUGAGUGCAGCGUGCUCGCCGGCUGGGCUGGAACUUGCUGCUCUUCUCUGCAGUGGCAGGCUGGCUUCUGCCCCUAGACUGGAACUGCCAAGGGCUGCUAUAGAAGGGACAAACUUCCAGUGCUCACUGAGGAGCCAGGGGUAUCCUGGGAAGCUGAAAAUGCAUUUGUCAAGCUCAGGUCUUCACAAUUGAGAAACCCCAUCACUAACCCGUACGGUUUUCUUGACCAAAACUUUCAGUGCUCUGUUUUUCCCAUCUGUAAAUAAUGUUCAUACAUCUAAAUCCUAGGAGGUUGCAGGGACAGUGGCUUAGAAAGUCACCACAUUCUCUAAAGGAGUGACAGAGAGGAUGAAAGAAGCAUGCUCUAUAAUUAGGUUUUAUUACAUGCUUUUUAAGGUUAAUUGAAGGACUUCCCAGCAGCUUCCCUAGCCACUUUUUCAAAUACUGAAAGCUUCCAGAAAGCAGCAGACAGGUGUUCCUCACAAUCUGACACAGACUUCAGUUACUGUUGAAAAGUGAAAGAGGGCUGGGCGCGGUGGCUCACACCUAUAAUCCCAACACUUUGGGAGGCCGAGGUGGGCGGAUCACCUGAGGUCAGGAGGUCAAGACCAGCGUGGCCAACAUGGCAAAACCCCAUCUCUACUAAAAAUACAAAAAUUAGCUGGGUGUAGUGGCACACGCCUAAAACUCCAGCUACUUGGGAGGCUGAGGCAUGAGAAAAAAUCGCUCGAACCCAGGAGGCGGAGGUUACAAUGAGUCAAGAUCAUGCCACUGCACUCCAGCCUGGGUGACAGAGUGAGACUAUCUCACAAAAAAAAAAAAAAAAAGAAAAAAAUGAAAGAGCUCCUGUCUGACGUUGGUUUUCUAUACCCAUUUUUAUAAUCAGACAAUUUUGGAAACAUGCUAUUAUGAUAGUGUUUAAAUAUUCCAGAAUUCUGUGUGUUCGGUAGCUUCACGUUGGUUUGAUUGUUGUUUUACCCCACUGCCUCUUCCUUCCCAUCUGUACUUCUCAGCUUGAUUUUUUAGAUGUAUUUUCUGUUGUAGGACAGUAUCAAAUGGCUUUUUCUGACCAUUUAUUUUACUGGCCGAGCUCCUCUUGGAUUUUAAUCUCAACUCUCAAGAAUCUUCCCAACAUAAUCUGUUCCUGUUGUGAUAUCAUCUUUCUUGAGAGCUUCCCAGUCACUGAAGAGCAUGUUCAGUAGCACCUGGCUUAAAGAGUCCACCUGCGAAUCACAAAUCAUUGUCUUCACCAUUCAGCUCCGACCCACACAUCUGGGCAACAUCAUCCCCACUGGCCAGUAAGCACGGGGAAUGCUCUGUGGCCUCAGCUGUGUUCUGGUUCCUCGGUGGAGCUGUAAUCAUUAACUUAGAAAUUGCAAUUGGUGGUAACUUAACAGAGCUUUCUUCAUCAGACUGCUGAGUCAUGCAGCCUCUUGCUGGGUAAAAUGUGUCUUGAGAUGUAAUCCCCUAUAAGGACACCCCCUUGGAGCCACUGUGAAGGCACUCCCAGCUUCCCUAGCAGGUCGCAUCAGGGGGACGACUGAAGGAUUUACUUGAACAAUCAGUUUUCAGAAAUGAAGACCCUACGACCUUGGCUUCCUCUCUUGUGAUGCAGCUGAAAGAUGCAUUUCGUCUGUAAAGUUAGACCAGGUAGGAGAGAAUGUGAGGUGGUUUCCAUUCUUCUCAGUUGCCCUCCACCUGAUUCUGAAGCCGUCACAGACCGUCCUUGCAGACCGGCGCUCCCCUCCACAAACCUUCUGCAGCCUGUACUGCUACAGCACGAGGCUGCAGAAUCAGUUGUGAAAAUAGAAGCCUUCUACCGUCUCCUGUGCGGGAUCCUUGCCUGCCUUUCUUCUGUGAUGGGAUCUAUAGGCUUAGACUGUGUUUUAUUUCCUAAGACACCUUGCUGAGCAAACCUUGCUGCUCUGCCUCGUGUCAGCGGUUUCCUUAGCAACGGCCACACCUCACGUUUUCUCCCGCACAGAGCACCAGCAUGAGGGGGCAUGUGUUGCUCACUGUACAGGAACUUUCCCAACCUGUGUGUCUUAAGCAGGAAAGAGAAGGUGCUUUCUAUUUCUUGUUUUUAAAAAUGCAUCUGUUGGUGACACUGGUGGAGAAACAUGUUUACGAGAAAACAACUGACUUUUUCUUCUGCUGUUACUCCAGGAGAUUUCCUAGGAGCUCAUACUGUCAUUUAAAUUCCAGGUGCAGGUCUUCUGAACAAAUGCCUCCUGAGGAUUUCUGUGCCUGGAAAAUAUCUGUUAACAGACUGCUUUUACACCUACGUAAGUAGAGGCUUCUGCUUAUAAGUCAACCUCAAGGGAGUUUUAUUUUGUCCCUGGAUGAUUCCUCAGUACAUUUUUCUUUUUCUUUUUUGAGGUAGGGUUUUGCUCUGUUGCCCAGGCUGGAGUACAGUGGUGUGAUCACAACUCACUGCGGCCUCAACCUCCCAGGCUCAAGCGAUCCUCCCACCUCAGCCUCCCAAGUAGCUGGGACCACAGGCGUGUACCACCCACGCCUGGCUAGUUUUUUAAAAUUUCUUUUGUAGAGGCAGAGUCUCCCUGUGUUGCCCUGGUUUCAAACUUGGGCCAAGUGAUUCUCUGCCCCAGCCUCUCAAAGUGCUGGGAUUACAGGUGUGAGCCACCGUGCCUGACAAGCCUGAUAUGUUUUUUUAAAUGAUCAUUAGUAUUUGAUCUCUACUCUUUUUCUCUCAACCACCCAACUCCCGGUUUACGGUCAGGAAGAAUCUAUAACAUGAACUCCUGCUUAAAAACAAGGGUAUAGAUCCCAUAUUCAGGUCUUAGACUGGGAAGAAGAGAAGGCAGUCAAAAAUAUUAAAUAUAUGAAUUUCAGUAAAUUCAGUUGGGGAUGCCAUUUCAGCUUUGCAGUCAGUUACUCCAGAAUAUGUCAAUGUAUGGCAAAGCAUGUGACAGCAGGAUCUCUGCACCCUCUCCAUUUACCAGCUGUGGUGGAUCUCUUAGCCACAUCUCUGUUUAUAAUGUGCUUAUUGAAAACUAAUGUAUUACUUUUAUUAUCAUAGCUACCAUUUACUGAAUAUUUACAUUGUGCUAACACUGGUUCAGAUGGCUUCAUCAUAUUUACCUGAUUUAAUCCUCACAACAACCUUAUGUGCUAGGUCCAGUUAUUACCAUCUUUUUUUUUUUUUGAGACGGAGUCUCACUCUGUCGCCAGGCUGGAGUGCAGUGGCGCGAUUUCGUCUCACUGCUGCAACCUCCGCCUCCCAGGUUCAAGUGAUUCUCCUGCCUCAGCCUCCCAGGUAGCUGGGACUACAGGCACAUGCCACCACGCCCAGCUAAUUUUUGUAUUUUUAUAGAGACGAGACUUCACCAUGUUGGCCAGGAUGAUCUCAAUCUCUUGACCUCGUGAUCCGCCCAUCACAGCCUCCAAAAGUGCUGGGAUUACAGGCGUGAGCCACCGCACCCGGCCUAUUACCCUCAUUUUACAGAUGAGGAGACUGAGGCACAGAGAGUUAAAGUGAUUUGUGCAGGGUUGUGUGAGGAGCUGGUGGCAGAGCUUGGCAUUCUGGCUCUGGAGUCUGCAUUUGGCCAUCUCACCGUACAGUGUCAUAGAAACAGGAAACUCGAGAAGAUAAACUGCCAGGCUGUAUUUUGGAGUCAGUAUUUUAACACUGUCACCAUCUCAAGCAUGAUCUGUGGGACUCAUCACUGUGCUCUUUGACUUGAACUUCUUUAAGGUUAGUGGGAAAAUGAAGCUUUAGAGAAGAUGGGACUGGCCUAAGGUCACACUGCAUGUCAGAAGUGUGGUGGAGGGUCCAGGUCUUCUGACCAUUCAGUGCAAGCCAAAUUGUGCUAAUUUCCAAUUUUUCUCCCUUUCUCUUGGUGAGCUAUUUGGUGCUACUUCUACUCCUCAUGACCAAAGCUGGCUUUCAUGGUUUACUCAUGUACUUACUGAUGAAACCCUGAGACUUGGGGCCAGUGACUGUUCAGAGGUCCAUGUGAAGAUGCGCUGAAUGGUAUAAAGGACAGAGCAGUAAAGAGUGCUGGCUGAAUGCCUGGGCUGGCAAUCAGGCAUGUUGGAGUUUGAGUCCCAGUCUGCCACUCCAGCUCUGUGACCAAGAGGAAGUGAAGUCAUGUACCCUUUCUAAGUCUCUAGCCCCUCUUCUGAAAGACGAAGAUGCCACCACCAACCAUGUUAGUGGUUGUGAAUGCCAAGAAAGUCCAUGUGAAGCACAUAGCAUAGUGUCUGCCAUGCGUUAAGUGUUCCAAAAAUGGAAGCUAUGACUAUUUCACAGAGUACACUUCCCAUCACUUUUCAGUUCAUUUUGGCCUUCUCCCUCAAAAGCACUCCAGUGUUCUGAUCCAGCUGAUAAAACACCAAACAUUCACAUAGUGCUUUAAAAGUGACCCACUGUUUUUACAGACUGCAUUACAUAUGACCCUAACAACCACUGCAAUAUAGAAAUUCGCAUCUCCAUUCUCCAGAUCAGGAUACCGAAGCUCAGAAAAAUUAAAUGAUUUGCCCAGGAUCACAUAGUUAGUAAGCAGCCCAGCCAGAUCCUGUGUUAACUUGUUCAUCCGCUUCCUAUAAGAAAACAUCCAUUCAAGGCACAUGGGGCAACAAAGAAGGACUUAGAGCUGUGUGGCCCCUCGUCAGGGCAGUACCAGUUGCACCCAUAGUCCGGCCUGAAUACUCAGCUUAGGACUAUUGUGUCCAAUGUCCCAAACAUUUUGAAGCUACAUCUUAAAGAAGUGUCCUGCUCAGAUGCAGUUCUCCUUGUGAAAUCCGCAGGCCCCAAGGAAAGUGACUUUAAUCCAGUUUGCUCAUGCAAGAACAGACUGGCAUUUCACAUCCAGGAAAACAAUGGAUUUGUACUGUUCAGCUUUUGCCAUGCAAGGAGUUCCUGGUGUGGUUUAUUAAUUUACAUCUCAGGCUCCAGCUUCACUAUCAAUCAGAUUUGGAAGAAAAAAGUUACAAAGAAAGGCAGCUUGCUGAGAAACAGCGGAAGCAUGACGGUACAGACUGGGUUUUGAAAUGGAGACACAUUCUCAUGGCUUGUGGGCUGAGAGACACUGAGAAAGGAUUUUGUUCUUGAAAGAUGAUUGUUUUAAUGCUGGAGAUGGAGAGUUUUGACAAUUUUAAGUGCAUGUUCUGUGUGUAAGAAAGAGUCAUUACGUUUUUUUUUUCUUUCAGAUGUUGCCAUGCCUUAAAAUUGCUGAUGAUUAAAAUAGAACAUCCUGAGUUACAGAAAUUCAGCCCUAGUGUAUCCUGGCCUAAAAAUACAGAACAAUCAAGUUGAUUGUUGGAAAUGAGAGGCUAGGCAGGGUUGGAAACAUGCUAAUGUUUACUGAGUGAAAUCUUUCCUUCUCAGUAGAGUUGCCCUUGCAGCUGAAAGUCACUGAAAGACUCAACAAAAUAAGCAGAUCCCACUUGUCUCACUCUGUUCUCCUAUGCAUGCCCUGGAAAGAGAAUGAAUGAGCCCUUUUUAAUUUAUCAACUGGUUUUCUUCCAUCUCUUUACUAGUGAGCCAUGGGGGUUUUUUGCCGUUAACUGGGUAGCCAGUCUCUUCAUGGAGACUUAUUUUCAGGAAACUAGCCUCUUGCUUUAUGUGAAAACAAGGACCCAACUCAAGAUGUCUUAUCACAGUGUGUUCUGUUGCGUAACAGUUGCAUCUGUAGUCCAGCCUCAAUACUCAGGUUGGGACUGUUUUGUCCUGAUGUCUCGAACAUUUCAAAGCUACGUUCUUAAAGAAAUGUCCUGCUCAGAUAGAGCUCUCCUUGUGAAAUCCUCAAACCCCAGGGGAAGUGACCUUAAGCCAGUUUGCUGGCUUUUCAUGUCACAGAAAACAAUCGACUGCCACUACUCAGCUGUUGCCACACAGGAGUACCUGGCGUGGUCACUACUUGCCAACUCAGUACCCCACUUUCUCCCCAAGGACAUAAAAGCAAUGUGGGAAGAUAUACCAAAUGACCUUGUCACACUGGGCUAAUAUGAAGAGCCCACAGAUGCAAAAUAAUGUAUCAUACCUUUAUUCUUCUGAUUUUUUUUUUUUUUUUUUUUUUCGGAGACAGUCUCACUCUUUUGCCCAGGCUGGAAUCCAGUGGCGCGAUCUUGGCUCACUGCAACCUCUGCCACCCGGGUUCAGGCAAUUCUCCUGCCUCAGCCUCCCGCCCAGCUAAUUUUUGUAUUAUUAAUUAGUAGAGAGAGGGUUUCACCUUCUUGGCCAGGCUAGUCUUGAACUCCUGACCUCGUGAUACACCUGCCUUGGCCUCCCAAAGUGCUGGGAUUACAGGCGUGAGCCACCGUGCCUGGCCUUUUUUUUUUUUUUUUUUUUUUUUUUUUGAGAUGGAGUCUGGCUGUAUUGCCCAGGCUGGAGUGCAGUGGCAUGAUCUUGGCUCACUGCAACCUCUGCCUCCCAGGUUCAAGUGAUUCUCCUGCCUCAGCCUCCUGAGUAGCUGGGAUUGCAGGCAUCCCAUACCCGGCUAAUUUUUUUGAAACAGAGGCUUGCUCUGUCACCCAGGCUGGAGUGCAAUGGCACGAUCUCAGCUCAGUGCAACCUCCGCCUACUGGGCUCAAGCAACUCUCCUGCCUCGGCCUCAGCCUCACUACAGGCAUGUGCCACCACGCCUGGCUAGUUUGGUUUUUUUUUUUUGUAUUUUUUUAGUAGAUAUGGGGUUUCACCAUGUUGGCCAGGUUGGUCUCAAACUUCUGACCUCAAGUGAUCUGCCUGCCUCAGCCUCCCAAAAUGCUGGGAUUACAGGUAUGAGCCACCACGCUUAGCCUUCUGCUGAAUUUUUGAGAAGCAUACAUAAAGACAAUGUAAAAAACUUAGCAUAUUUGUUUGGCCCUGCUAAGGGCAUGGUUGAAUAUAUAGUGUGUGUGAUGUAUUUGGUGUAUGAGAUAUAUAUGAUCUUAUCAGACAUAAGUAAAAGAAAUUCAUUCUUCAGGAAAAAUUUUCCCCAUAACUGAAGUGUCAAUCAUUUGAAAAAACUUCUAGGCAGUAGGCAAACACUGUGACUAGUUAUUUAUCAAAAAUAAGCAGACUUUAGAGUUUUGUAACUGAUGAGAAUAAUCUGGCUGCUUCUUUUGUACUUCAGUCACUGAUACUGCGAAUUAGAGUAGCAUAUACAGAAGGAUGCAGGGGGUCCCUAAAGGAAUCACAGAAUUAGUGAAACCAUUAUUUGAGAGUUGCAGUGAUUCUUCUGUCCUGGCACUUUUCCCAGUUUUGGUGCUUAAAUUUACUAUCCACUUGAAAUGUGUCACUGCCUGUCACUUCACAAAGUAUGUGCCUUUCACUGCAGUCAACAAGCUGUUUACAUCUUUGAUGAAAUGAUUGCCACGCAUCUCCAUAGCCCUGGUGUUCUAUUCCCUUAUUCACAGAGAUUUUUUUUAAAAACCAGCCUAGCAGCAAUAGGUAUGUGCUGUGGAUGCUUCUCCAUGAUGAUAAAGGAUGAGUUUGUGCUGGGAUCUCCUUAUGAAAAGAUAACUGGCCAAGCCCAUGAGGAACAAGAAUGUUAUGCUAAUCAGACCCAAGGUAAACAGCCUGCAGUGCACCUCCUGACUGAUUAGCACUGAACCCACUUGGAAUCAUCAACCACAGGCACGUGGUAAUUGGAUGUUCUUCUAAUACACAUAGUGAGAUUGUAAAAUGAGGAUGAUAUAUGAGGAAAGUCAGACGGAGAAACUAAAGUUCAGUUCUUAAAUACAAGCCAAGGGAACAGACUAAGUGAAUGGUACAGCCAGGAUUGGAGCCUGGUUUUCACAAGGUGGUAUGUCAUGAUAAAACAAGCCAAAGAAAAGGUUGGGUAGUGUUUUGAGGCUAAAAGAGACCAAAGAGUCUUAGUGAAUCAACCUUGAUGCGAUCUGGGUUUGAAAAACCUAUAAAAAACCUUUUGUUUGGAGAAAGUGGGAGAAGUUGGAUGUAGGCUGGAUAUUUGUGGGUACCAAGGAAUUGUUUGUUUUCUUAGGUAUGGUAAGAUUUUGUGGUUAUGUAGAAGAGUGUCUUCAUUUUAUAGAACGACCUCAAAGUAGUUAGGAGCAGUGUAUGUAUGGGUGGUUAUCAAUUUACUUUCAAACAAUGCAGCAAAAAAUAUGUAUCUAUAUUACAUAUAAUUAAAGCAAAACAUGAUAAAAAGGAAUAGUUAUUGAAUUUAGAUAGUAUGGAUUUAGGAAUUCAUUGUAUUGUCAUUCCAAUUUAAUGUAUAAAAUUUUUUAUAACAGUUUAUAAAAACAGUGCACACCCCUUUAAUUAGGUGGCCUGGGUACAUGAAGUAUCUUUUUGGAUGCCUAGAACACAAAAAGGGACGACAACAGGCCACCUAAUAAGAUGAUACCAAGAACUAUACCAUGACGGCGAAAAAGAACUGCUGCAAAAAAUAAUUUGCCAAGGAGAACUCAGAGUACAAAGCCUUACCUUUGGAGUAGAGGGAAGGAGAGUCUUAAGUAAAGCUCACAAAAACCCCUAACUCAUAGAUGCAGUCUAAGGAAUUCAUUCCGGAAGCGACAUUAGCAUCUCAUUAGUGCCAUUAUGUGACUUACUUGGCCUCUGAGCUAGUCUAUUUUCUUCCCUAGACCCCAAAAUCUCAGUAAUCCUUUGGAUCCAAGUUAUCUCCAAGUGAAAAUAAUAGGUUUAGGAAAGCGUUUUUCUUCAACUUCUAUGGAGCACUUGCUUGCUUUGUCCUAUUUGCAUGUCCGACGGACGGUUCUCCAGCACCACUGCUAGUCGUCCUCCGCCUGCCUGGGUACUUGAUCACAGGAUGCCUCUGACUUCUCCUGCCUUUACCCAAGCAAAGGAUUUUCCUUGUCUUCCCACCCAAGAGUGACGGGGCUGACAUGUGCCCUUGCCUCUAAAUGAUGAAGCUGAACCUUUGUCUGGGCAACUUAACUUAAGAAUAAGGGAGUCCCAGGCAUGCUCUCCCAUCAAUAACAAAUUCAGUGACAUCAGUUUAUGAAUAUAUGAAAUUUGCCAAAGCUCUGUUUAGACCACUGAGUAACUCACAGCUAGGUUUCAACUUUUCCUUUCUAGGUUGUCUUGGGUUUAUUGUAAGAGAGCAUUAUGAAGAAAAAAAUAGAUCAUAAAGCUUCUUCAGGAAGCUGGUUUCAUAUGGUGGUUUAGAUUUAAAUAGUGAUUGUCUAGCACCAUUUGAAAUCAGUGUUCUUGGGGGAGACCAGCUGCGCUGCACUACCAACAGCAAAAGAAGUGAAUGGGACAGCUCUGAAGUAUUUGAAAGCAACAGCAGGAUGGCUGUGAGAACCUGCCUCACAUGUAGCUGACCCCUUCCUCACCCCUGCCAACAGUGGUGGCAUAUAUCACAAAUGGCAGUCAGGUCUCUGCACUGGCGGAUCCAACUGUGAUCGAAAGUUUUCCAAAAAUAAGUUGUGUCUGUAUUGAACAUGAACAGACUUUCUUCUUGUCAUUAUUCUCUAACAAUACUGCAUAACAAUUAUUUGCAUACAUUUGCAUUGCAUUAAGUAUUCUAAGUAAUCUAGAGACGAUUUAAAGUAUACGGGAGGAUGUGUGUAGGUUGUAUGCAAAUACUACACCAUUUUCUAUCAGAGACUUGAGCAUCUGUGGAUUUUGGUAUCCAAGGGGCUUUCUGGAACCAAUCCCUCAAGGAUACCAAGGGAUGAAUGUAAUUGUACAGGAUAUCGCAUUGUUGGAAUUUUAUACUUCUUUGUGGAAUAAACCUAUAGCACUUAAUAGAUAGUACAGACUCAUUCCAUUGUGCCUGGGUUAAAGAGCCCAAUGUAUGCUGGAUUUAGUAAGAUUUGGGCCCUCCCAACCCUCACGACCUUCUGUGACCCCUUAGAGGAUGACUGAUUUCUUUUGGUGUUCAGAGUCAAUAUAAUUUUCUAGCACCAUCUGAAAUCGGUUAUAAUGAUUGGGGAAGAGCACCAUGAUGCUGACUGCUGAGAGGAAAUGUAUUGGUGACCGUUGGGGCCAUGGACAAGAACUAAGAAAACAAAUGCAAAGCAAUAAUGCAAAGGUGAUUUUUCUUCUUCCAGUUUCUAAGUUGAAUUUCACUGACCUGAAUUGCAUGUGGUAUAAUACUAACAAAUGGUUCACUAUUAGCAUAUCAUGAAUGGUUAUACUUUAUAGAAAUUCCAUAGACUUGGUGGGGGUUUUGUUUUGGUGACGGAUACCUAGAAACACUCCUGGGGAAAAUCGAUGACUGGCUUAGAUGAUGGGAAAGGAGCAGCGAGGGAGUCAAUUCUGUUGUUGAUGAGAAGCUGCACCAGCUAUCUCUGAACUCUCCUCUCUUAGCUGGCUGAGGAGUUCCCUCCAUGGUUAAACAGGUCAUUUUCUUACAUAAGGAAAAAUGGUCCAGAGAAACUGGGUUUCUAUGGCUGAGACAGAACUGUGCUAAUAUGUGUCAGUUCAGUUUAGAAGGCAAAGCAACAAAAGCAGGUGCUACUUGAACUAGGAUCCUAGAGUAUACCUUUGAUAUGGUUUGGAUGUUUGUCCCCUCCAAUCUCAUGUUGAAGUGUGAUCCCCAGUAUUGGGGGUGGGGCCUGGUGGGGGUGGUUGAGUGAUGGGGCGGAUCCCUUGUGAAUGGCUUGGUGAUGUCCUCACUUAACGAGUUCCUGCUCAGUUAGAGGGAGCCGGUUGUUUAAAAAAGCUGGCACCUCCUUCCUCUCUCUUGCUCUUUCUUUCUUGCUCCCUCUCUCGCCAUGUGACAUGUCUGCUCCCUCUCCGCCUUCCACCAUGUAUAAAACAUCCUGAGGCCUCAUCAGGAGCCGAGCAGGUACCAGUGCCAUGCUUGUACGGCUGCAAAACUGUAAGCCAAAUAAACCUCUUUACUAUAUAAAUUACCCAGUCUCGGGUAUGUCUUUAUAGCAGCGCAAAACGGACUAACACAACCUCACUAGAAGUGAAGUCAUUAGACCAAAAACAAUACUGAGUUUUUAGGUCCACUAAGAGGCAAAAAUAAAAGGCUCUUUAUAGCAGCAUGAUUUAUAAUCCUUUGGGUAUAAGCACAUGUAUGCUAGAACUUAAAGUAUAAUAAUAAAAUAUAAAAAUAAUAAAAUAAAAUAAAAGGCUCAAGAAUGAGCCAUCUCGGCCGCUCCUCCUCCAGGGGCCCCUGUGUGCAGCUCCCAACACAGGUACUGCACAGACCGGCCACCUGCUGUCCCCAUGUGGCGUCCUGGAGAACUGCAGGGGCACCUGGUGGAAUUUGGGCCUUGUCCUUCUGUUUUCUUUCUGGCCUGGAAAAGCCACUGGCCUCACAAUCAAGAGUUAAUAUUCUAUCUACCCUGCUUAAGCUUUCCCGCCCUCUCACACUGCCUCCCUCCUUUUCCCUCCUGCCUGUCACUUGUCUGGAAAAGGCCUUUUCUCCUCGGGGCUAACACAUGCAAUUUGUAGCCAAAACAUUCUGUCUACCACACAAAUCCAACGAGAAUCAGGAUCAUUCCACCACAUCUUUUUCUAUCCCAUGGUUAUUAUUUUCCCAAAACUCUUGUCUUUUGCUUUCUUACCUAUUCGCUGUUUUCCCUAAGUAAUCUUAUUUACUCCCCUGGUUCCAAAUACAUCCCUAUGUGUUGAUUUCCCUCAAACCAGAGGUCUGGCCUGGGAUAUUUUUUGAGACAUCUUGCUUUUUAUAUUUUUAGUAGCUCCUAAGUAUAAUAGUUCAGCCUGCUCUUCUAAACUUGUCUCAAUUUAAUCCAUUUAUGCUUGAGGUUGCAAUUUUUUGAAUUUUUGCCAUCAGACCUUGGCAAUGACCUUGAGCAGUAGGAGACAACUCCCACAUGCUUAGCAUUCCAAUAAUGGAACACUAGGCAUAUACCAAAGCCAUCCACAUUGCCUUCUCCCCAAAGCCAGCUCUCCCUGCUCUGCCCCAUGGUGAAAGCUGCGAACACCAGAGGUCUGUGACCUCUUCCCUCUCCCUUACCCACAUCCAUACUCAGCACAACUUGUUGCUGUUCUCUCUCAAUUCUCUCUUUAGGAUCCAUCCCUUUCUCUGCUCUUCCUAGACAGCUUUCUGGGCCCACCCCUCGCCAUUAGUCUAGCUUUGUUAUAGCCACCAGUUAAUCUUUGUAAAAUACAUACGUGAGCUGGGCACGGUGGCUGGUGCCUGUAAUCCCAGCUACUCAGGAGGCUGGGGCAGGAGGUUGCUUGAGCCCAAGAGGUUGAGGCUGCAAUGAGCCAUGAUUGCAUCACUGCACUCCAGCCUGGACGACAGACCAAGAUCCCAUCUCUUUAAAAAAUAAAAAUAAAAAUUGUUUAACCACAUGACCUUGCUCCUUGUCCCUCACUUUUAGCUGAACUCUUAUAAGUGUGUCAACCAGGUACCAGACCCUUCAUGACCCCAUGCCUACCUGUGUCACCAUCUUCUGGCUGUGCUUCCUGGGGCCUGUGUUCUGUGCUCACCCAGCUGCUUGCUGCUGAGAACACUCAGGUAUCUUGGCAUUUCUUAGCCUGUGUCUGUGCUAUUUCCUCUGCCCACAUCUCCCCUCUCCUCCUCCUCGUCAGCUAGGGACCUCCAGCCCCUAGGGACUGUAAGCUAGGGACCUCCAACCUGCAGCCCCUGGCUCAGGUGUAAACUUGUCUAGGAAGCCUUCCUCUGCCUUCUGCAUCAAGGCUUAGAUCCCUGGGCAAAGGCUUUCUUCUCUGUACCCCUUCAGAGCCUGAUGGCACUUCGCAUGUUAUAUUCUCAUGAUUGAUUACCUACUAGGCUUCUCUGCAAGGCUGGAAAAUCCUUGCUCCUAGGAGGGACGGUAGACAAGAACAAGACAUACUGUGUACACUCCAUUCUUACAUUCCACGUGAGCUAUCCUUUGUGUAGGUGUCUGUGGCAAAUCUUCCUUCUAGGCUGCAGCCUCUACUUUUCAUAGUUUCUCUCCAUUUUCAUCUGCCAUGUGCAUGAGGAAUAAAAACUACUUCCAAUGAUGACCAAAAUAAGAUGGAAGAAAAUAACCCUGCUUCAAAGAACAUUUCUGAGACCAUAAAUAUGAUUUUGAUGUAUCUUCCAUUAUGGAUUACCCAUGUGGUUUUUUUUUUCCUUCUAAAUGCAUAAACAGGAAUUGUUUAAUAGGCUAGAGAGCCAUGAAAAGCAAAAUAAUUAAGGAUUGUUGUCCUCAUUUCAUAGAAGAGCAAACAAAGACAGAAAAACAGAUGUGCCUUAACCAAAAAGGGCAGUAAAUUUAUGCAAAGCAGACUGAACCCCCAUUAAAAGUAAUCAUUUACAGCGACCAAGGGCCAAGCACGUGAUCACCACCCUCCUCUCCCAAUAGCUCUGAAGGGUGGGUAGUAUUUCCCCAGCUUAUGCACGAGGAAACAGAUGCACAGGAAAGUCAAGUAACUUGCCUGCAAUGCCACGGCUAGUCAACAUGAGAGUUUGAAUUACAAAUCAGGUGGCGGUGGCGGUGGUGAUGAUGAUGAUAAUAGCAGCUUAUCAUCAUCAUUGAGCUCUUAUUUUGUGUUAGAUACUUGGUAAGUAUUUUGCAUGAAUUAGCUCAUUUAGUCUGACUUUCAAAACAGCCCUUUGAGGUCAGUGUUAUUAUCAUCAUUCCCAUUUUGCCAUGAAGAAACAAAAGAAUUAAAUAAUCCAAGAUCGUCUAACUGACAUUUCCAAGCAGGAGCACAAACCCAGAUCUCUGUGAUUCCAGAGCCUGUGCUCUUAAAUCAGCACUGCUCAUUUCAGUGUGGGAGAUGGCGUAAAUGGGUGUGUUCACUUGCUGGGCAGCCUCAUCUGUGGUCCCCUUGAUCCCCACCUACUGGCAUUCAUGCCCUGUGCUAUUCCCUCCCCUGGAGUGUGGACUGGACCUAGUAAUUUGCUUCUAAUGGAUGGAAUAUGUCAAAAGUGAUAGAUGUCACUUCUGAGACUAGGUUACAAAUAGACUGUGAUUCUGUUGUCUUCUUCCUCAGGCUUGCACCCUCACGACAUGCUCUCUCUCUCUCCCUCUCCUCUUUUCUCUCUUCUCUCCCUUCUCUCCUCUCUCUUAUCUCUCUCUUCUCUCUCUCGUACACAUACUCUGGAAAGCCAGCUACCAUACUGGGAACUGCCCAAUGGAGAGGCCCACAUUCCACAAGGAACUGAUGUCUUCAGCCAAUACCUCGCCAGGACCUGAGGCCUGCUGAGAGUCACGAGUGGCCUUCGUGGGUCCUCUCUCAACGAGCUUGCAGGUGACCACUGCGCCAGCCAAAACCUUGAUGGCAGCCUAUGAGUGAGUGACCCUGAGCCAGAAGACCCAGUUAAGCCAUGCCCAGGAUCCUGACCUGCAGAAACUAUGACAUAAUAAAUUUAUUGUUUUAUGCCACU